ACUUUGAUCGAUUUCUUCGGAUUGAAAUUUUAGUGACUGAGUGGCGGACGGGUGAGUAACGCGUGGGUAACCUGCCUCACACAGGGGGAUAACAGUUGGAAACGGCUGCUAAUACCGCAUAAGCGCACAGUACCGCAUGGUACAGUGUGAAAAACUCCGGUGGUGUGAGAUGGACCCGCGUCUGAUUAGCUAGUUGGCAGGGCAACGGCCUACCAAGGCGACGAUCAGUAGCCGACCUGAGGGGGUGACCGGCCACAUUGGGACUGAGACACGGCCCAAACUCCUACGGGAGGCAGCAGUGGGGAAUAUUGCACAAUGGGGGAAACCCUGAUGCAGCGACGCCGCGUGAGCGAAGAAGUAUUUCGGUAUGUAAAGCUCUAUCAGCAGGGAAGAAGAAAUGACGGUACCUGACUAAGAAGCACCGGCUAAAUACGUGCCAGCAGCCGCGGUAAUACGUAUGGUGCAAGCGUUAUCCGGAUUUACUGGGUGUAAAGGGAGCGCAGGCGGAAGGCUAAGUCUGAUGUGAAAGCCCGGGGCUCAACCCCGGUACUGCAUUGGAAACUGGUCAUCUAGAGUGUCGGAGGGGUAAGUGGAAUUCCUAGUGUAGCGGUGAAAUGCGUAGAUAUUAGGAGGAACACCAGUGGCGAAGGCGGCUUACUGGACGAUAACUGACGCUGAGGCU
rnacentral:rRNA from 1 species